rnacentral:lncRNA from 1 species
UUGAAUGAUUCCUAUUGCAAGGAGUUGUCUGAUUUAAUCAGUGUAGACAACUGAUCUGAAUAACAUGAACCUCCUAUCUAAUUUUAUCAAUAGCUUUGAGAGGUUUGGGGAUAUAUUACUGACACAUCUUCAGUGGUUCACUUCAUUUUCUUUGUGAUUGCCUGUCAACCUUCCAUUUUUUAUGAUGAAAAACCCAUCUGUGUUAUGAUGAAUUGGCUUUGUUUCCAUGUUAUGUCCUACACCUAAUACAUUAUUAUUUAGAGCUGUAAUUAAACAUUACUAAACAGUUUAAUAGGGUGUUUCAUAGUUCAAGGUAAGACUAACUUUAUUCAGCAGGGAAAAUCUGAUUUUAUUAUUUACUUUAUUUGAGGUCAGAUUAUUUUCAAAUAGUUAAAUAAAGUUAAAUAUAUUCAAUAUGUACAUAAACUUGAGAACUCUAAAGAGAAAAUUCCUCCCCAAACAACUACAUCAUAGAGCUAGGAGGAGGAAAAAGCCCCAAGUUGUAUUUCCAAAAAAACAAAAAAGAAAUAUUUAAUUAGAGUAAUUUAUAGAUUUAAAGAACUGACCCUAUAGCUUGAGUUCUACAUUAUAGUUCAUCACAAUGAAAUUCAAAGAACAUUUUCUCUUUUACUGGAAAUCUAAUUGCAUGCAUGGUCUCUGCAUAGUUGUAAAAGUGUAAUCAUAUAUUGCCUCAUAUUACUUGAAUUUAUUGCCUGUGUAUUAUUGUAACUAGAAAGACAGUCAUAGAGGGGUGAGGUUGUGGGUCUUAUUCUUGUACUUCUCCACCCAGUGCCUUUCACAGAACCGAGCCCAAAGUUGUUCAUGAUAUAUACUUUUGACUUGAUGACUUGAUUAAUUGUUCCGUUGCUUUUAUUGUAAUGUAAUUUGCUGCAUUUGGGUCG